UACAGAGGUCUCAAGCGUUGUUCGGAUUCAUUGGGCGUAAAGGGUGCGUAGGCGGCGCGGUAAGUCGGGUGUGAAAUCUCGGAGCUUAACUCCGAAACUGCAUUCGAUACUGCGUGGCUAGAGUACUGGAGAGGAUGGUGGAACUCUCGGUGUAGAGGUGAAAUUCGUAGAUAUCGAGAAGAACACCGGUGGCGAAGGCGGCCAUCUGGACAGAUACUGACGCUGAGACGCGAAAGCGUGGGGAGCAAACAGG
rnacentral:rRNA from 1 species